rnacentral:lncRNA from 1 species
UGAGCAUUCUAAUUGCAACUCAAAGAGCUUCCCAGUGUGGAUGGACCUCACCGGGCUGAGAUCCCAGAGUGUACAGCAGUAAAAGGAGCUGUCCAAAAUGGCGGCUCCUGUCAAAAUGGUGGCACCAUAGCAUCUCCUCAGCCUGCUGCCUUCACAGGAGCUAUCUAAGAUGGCCCACCACCUCCUUUCCUGCCUCCGAUGUAGCUGGCCCUCAAGAGCUGUCCUCAGUGGUGACCUUUCCUGCUUCAGCCUACUACCAACAUGAGAUAUCCGUGGUGUAUAUGUCCUACAGUGUUGAACAAAACACAAGAAGAAGAUAUUUGGGGCCAUGAAUAACUCAAGGACCCAGCCAGAUCUCAACAGUGGCACCUGCCCAACCUGCCAUUGUGCAAGUUUCUGCCACAUACUUUGAGAAGACACCUUCAAAGCUUAACAGGAGACCCUUUCAUCCUUACUUUAGAUGAACCUGAUAUUCUCAACCUGAGUGCUCUGGAUCUCAUCAUCCUGUAUAAAUCAUAAAUAAGUGCAGUACCAACAGAGGCCAGAAGAGGUUUCAAAUCUCUUGGAGCUACUGUUACAGGCUGUGGCAGGAGCUAUAUAGUCCAUUCUGGUCUCUAACUCCCCAUGUAGCUGAAGUUGACUCUAAACUUCUGAUUCCUGCCUUCACAGAUGAGGAUUGCGAUUAUGGCACAUCAGGAUCUGUGGAUUCCCAGUGUGCUCUGCAUCCAGUGGGCUGUUUAGCAGAUGCAGUAUAUUGGCUCCCUUUGCUAUAUCCUGUUUUCAGUAAAUUUGAGACAAAACACACCAGAAAUACUCUGAAAA